ensembl:snRNA
CUGCUGUAUGAAAGGAGGGAAAUUUAGCACUCCCUUUAACAAAUAUGAAAGAGGUCCUCAGGCCUGACAACAUGCAGAUGGUUAAGGCAUUGCCACCUACUUCCUGACAUCUAACCAUCAUUUUUG